rnacentral:rRNA from 1 species
CAGCAGCCGCGGUAAUACGGGGGGAGCAAGCGUUGUUCGGAUUUACUGGGCGUAAAGGGCGCGUAGGCGGCGCAACAAGUCACUUGUGAAAUCUCCGGGCUUAACUCGGAGCGGUCAAGUGAUACUGUUGUGCUAGAGUGCGGAAGGGGCAACUGGAAUUCUCGGUGUAGCGGUGAAAUGCGUAGAUAUCGAGAGGAACACCUGCGGCGAAGGCGGGUUGCUGGGCCGACACUGACGCUGAGGCGCGAAAGCCAGGGGAGCGAGCGGGAUUAGAUACCCCGGUAGUCCUGGCCUUAAACGAUGAAUGCUUGGUGUCCGGAGUACUAUUGUCUCCGGGUGCCGUCGCUAACGCAUUAAGCAUUCCGCCUGGGGAGUACGGUCGCAAGACUGAAACUCAAAGGAAUUGACGG